UUUAUACAAAUGUUUAUACAUUGUAAGACAGACUUUAGGUCUAUACCUAGAGGUCAAUUAAUUUCUAUAGUAAAAGUUGUGAGAGUAUUGUUUAUUCAAAAUAUAGUGAAAAUCAUAGUGAAAAUUCUUUAUAUUAUUAUUAAGGGAGUAGCAUUACUUAUUAAACUUAGAAUAGAAUUAGGAAGUAUUAGCAAUUUAUUUGAUUUAAGUUGGGUUAAUUAAAUUAGAUUAAAUUAAAUUAACUAUAUAGUCAAUUACAUUUUUGGCAACGUACAAAUACCAUUUGUUUCUUUGUGUUCUAAAACAGGUACAGUUAGAAAGAAAGAACACCAGUGGAAGAGCUCGCGGAUAUCUAUUUAAAAUAUUUAUUAGAGUUUUGCUUUUUUAGUAAACACAAGAUAGUCAUAGCUCUAUACGAUUAUUCUAUACGAUUUUUAUUUAAAAUAUUUAAGAGUCUUAAUUUUUGAGUGAAUACAAGAUUGACCUAAUUCGAUACGGUUAUUUAACAAAUUUUUAUUUUUUCUAUGCCUUAAAAUUUCAUAUGUCUCCAUGGAGCAGAGUUGGCAACCUACCCAGUUAUUUCUAUAAGGCAUCGCUCUUCUAACUAUUUCCCAAUAUUUAAUAUUAUUUUUGAGUUCCCAGAUCUUACUUGAAAGUGUGGUGCAACCAGCUUUAUGACGUAACUUAAAUGAGGAGAUAUGGUUGCUAACUCUUUGUUUAAAUUUUAUAGUACAACCUAAAUAAAAAGAUUUGCUAUUCUCAGUAGUUAUGGUACAUUUAUAGAUUACGUUACUUACCCCACACAGACCAGGUGCCGGGCAUUUUGAUUUAAUUCUACAAUUACACCUAGGGGAUCAUCUUAUACAUAUAUAUAUAUAUAUAUAUGUGUGUGUGUGUGUGUGUGUGUGUGUGUGUGGUAUGUUGUAUGUAUAUGUAUCUACCUAUAUGUAUGUAUGUAUGUUAUGUAUGUAUUGUAUGCAUGUGAUGAAUGUAUAUGUAUGUAUGUAUAUAUGUACAAAGCAAUUAACAAUGCGAUAUAAUAUCCUGGGACAACAGUAAAUCACCUGGUUAGUAUUU